GCUUGCAGCCCGACGGGGUUUCUCCGUGGCCAGCUACGAUCGUGUUUCUCCUCUUCUCCAAGCAUUGCCUGGGGAACACCAGAAGGGCAUUAAACGCUAAUUGAUGCGUUACCUGGGAAAUCGGAUCGCCAGUUGCGGCUUGCGAGGAGUGUCAGUUAAGCGGCCGCGAUGCGCGCGUUCUUCGAGGCGGAUGCGGCCUGGGCGCGAGCGGAGAUAUGUGGACCUAGGGGUACGUGCCACCCGGAGUGUCCUGCACAAAGAAUGCGAUUAAGGAGAAUGACGCUUAGGAAAUCGCGGAAAGAUACGCCUCGAGAGCCAGAACGGCUCCGGAUUCAAUGCGCCCGCAUUUAUUGGAGCCACCCGUAUCGGAACGACCGGAGGGCCGCAGUUUGGCUAUAAAUAUAGGUGCAGGUGCGA
rnacentral:lncRNA from 1 species